rnacentral:rRNA from 1 species
UACGUAGGGGCAAGCGUUGUCCGGAAUUAUUGGGCGUAAAGCGCGCGCAGGCGGUCAUUUAAGUCUGGUGUAUAAACCAAAGGCUCAACCUAUAGACGCAUUGGAAACUGGGUGACUGGAGUGUAGGAGAGGAAAGUGGAAUUCCACGUGUAGCGGUGAAAUGCGUAGAGAUGUGGAGGAACACCAGUGGCGAAGGCGACUUUCUGGCCUAUAACUGACGCUGAGGCGCGAAAGCGUGGGGAGCAAACAGG